UACGGGGGGGGCAAGCGUUGUUCGGAAUUACUGGGCGUAAAGGGCUCGUAGGCGGCCAACUAAGUCGGAUGUGAAAUCCCCAGGCUUAACCUGGGAAUUGCAUCCGAUACUGGAUGGCUUGAAUCCGGGAGAGGGAUGCGGAAUUCCAGGUGUAGCGGUGAAAUGCGUAGAUAUCUGGAGGAACACCGGUGGCGAAGGCGGCAUCCUGGACCGGCAUUGACGCUGAGGAGCGAAAGCUAGGGGAGCAGACGGG
rnacentral:rRNA from 1 species